GAAGCGGGAUUGGCUAGAAUGUUGUAGUGAUGGGGUAUGGAUGCGGAUUUGUAUUUGGAAUGGUUAUGGGAUAUCUUAUGUUUGUAACUUGAAGACUAUAAUGGCUAAUGAAAAUAGUUGAAGGAAAACAAUAUAAGAAGGUGAAAAGGUCCAACAAGGGUGCACACUGAUGCAAUGAAAGAAUAAAUUAGAAAAAACAGGUGGCAUUAUUAGAUAUGUUCCAUUUAGUAGCACUAUAAAGCAAUUGUAUCCACUUGAAGGAGUGUCUCACCUAGCUGUUGCAUUUGAGUGUGUGCGCAUCCGGAUAGACGCUCUACUGGAUCACUUCAAAAGCUUUACCCUUGUUGUUGUAUUGAGUUCUAAAGCUUUGUUACGUAUUUUAGCUUUAUUUAAGGACGAGUUAAAUAUGAGUUGCAUGUCAUAACUCUUUAUUGUUUCUUUUCUUGCAUCAUUUAGCAGCCAUUAGAGAUUUGUACUUUUGUAUGUAAUUGUUUUUAAAUUCCACUUCAGUCACUGAAAACUUGGCCUUGCCAAAUUUUUUACUUUGAAAUGCAAUCUUUCAAGUUACAACUCAAA